ensembl:lncRNA
GGCAAAGUUUCAGUGCAUUCCGUUGAUGUAGACGGCGUGAAAACGGAAACAAGUAUGCCAGCUCACUGUGCUGCAUACAAUUACACACUACGUCGUACGAUUGAGACAAGGAAACUUGGAAUGACUUUUCAUAGGUUUCCCAGAGACUAUGGGUUGAGGAGGAAUUGGAAGUUUGUCGGCUUAGACCUGGUGUCAUUCCAUCAGUGUUAAACUUCCCGGCUCAUCUUGGAAGAGUACGUGCCAGAAAGACCACGACCAAGCAGCCUUGAGAUCUUAGACAGCGUCUCCCUCAGGUCCCUCUCUAUCUCCCCACACAUCCACCAACCACUGGAACACAUCUCCAAAGUUCUGCUGGACCAGCUCAGCUUCCCCUCAGAAGAAGUGGCGCCACCUGCCAGAUGAAGGAGCCUUUUGAGAGGCAGCUGGCAUCGUGAUUGGACUGUACUUUGGUCUGUUCCAGUCCAGCUUCAGCUCCAGAGACGGCAGGCGGGACGAGUCAACGGAGGCCUGGUGGACGAAGACCAAAGAACUACAGACUCUUCACAACCUGCUCAAACUCUUGGUACAGGACCUCACCACAUGGGUCAAGAAGGUUUCUGUCUCAUUUCUACUCUGAAGCUCA